ACCAGACGAGUGACCGAAGCAAUGGUUCGGUUCAACUCGAAGAUUGAAGAGAUCUAGUCUGCUAAUUCCACAUUAGCUACCAGUUUGUUUUGCACUCUUAGCUUCCUUAAGAGGUUUUCCAUUUCCAGCUCAGUCACUUUCCUAUGCCGGGCUGAUGAGUGCUAAUAAGCACGAAACUGCAGUCCUCGGCUGGAAAUGACUGAGCUGGCGGUGUAUUUGACAUGAUGGUCAUUCCUGAGUAAAAAGUUUGAAUCCUAACUUGUUCUAUCCGAAUAUCAAUAUACGAGUAACACAUUUAACAGAACAAGAACCUAAGAGAUUUCAGUGACCGAAGAAAGAUUUUGCGUCAAACAAGUACAGAAUUCAAAUUAUGAAGGAGUUUAUACAUUUUCUAAACCAGGCUGGAUAUCAGUGCCUGUCAGGCAAUAUCGUUUUCAGCAAAAUAAUCAGAUUUUGUCAUCAUUUGCACUAGUUAUCUCCUAAUUUUCAUUUUUGUAAGAUGUAUGCUUUCACUUUUUGUCUCAAUUAAAAACUUUGGUGUAGGAAGGGGAUAGCUUAACUUUUUGCUAGUUUUGUGUUCCACAUUGAACCACAGUACAACCUUGUUUAUCUAGAAAAUCCGGGGUAAUAUGCGUAAUAAGCAAAACAAAUUCUUAAAUAGCUAGACUUAUCUUUCAUUACAGCAAAAACAAUGGUUUGUAAUAGAAUUGCGUUGGAUCAUUUCUUGCGAACACUUUAUCAUUUAUAGUUCAGCUGCAUGGGUGUGGGACCUGCUCUCCAAGUAUGCAAUGUUGUUUGUCAGGUAUUGUAAUUAAUUGCAUAAUCUGUGUGGUAGUUGCACAUCAAAUCAAAACAAAAAGCAAAUGUUUGGCAUACUAACAGUCCAGUUCUUACUAUUAUAAUUUUAAGUUAUUUAAACGUUAAUGAAAUUUUUAAAAAAAUACGCAUGUAGAAUUCUACAUGUAGAGUUCCCGAUAAAUGGGGGUCGGCUAAACAAGGUUAUACUUUGUAUGAAGGAAGUUAUAAUACAGUAAACUCUCGAUAACUCGAAGUCCCAAGGGACCGGCUAAAUUGUUUGAAUUAUUGGUAGUCCGAGUAAUGGGAAGUUUCCACAACAGUUUGAAGAGUUUGGGACCCGAUGAAAACUUCAAGAUAAAGGAAUUUAGAGUUAUAAGCUUCGAGUUAUCGAGAUUUGACUGUAUUUCACUCUGUGCAAGGACAAGGCUACAUUUCGAUUGAAAGUGAAAAAAACAUUACCAAAAUUUUUGCACUAUUUCUAAACUUAAGUUUUAUUUAUUAUAAGACUUGGGUUGUUUUCUUAUUAAAAUCAAAUAUUGUUUUAAUUACCAUAAAAAUGCAAAUUUCUUUUGAAUUAUUAAUUAUUAUGUGUAUUUCACGCAAGAACGGGACAACUUCAAAACUUAAUAAAUAGUUAGGGGAGUCCGUGCCCUGCUCGUCAAUCCCCAUUUAUUGCCUGCAAUGGGCUUCAAUUGAUUUCAAUGGUAUUUUUAUGAAUUCAAAAUUUUAUCAAUUCAAAUUGUAUCAUUUCAAUGGUAUUUAUCAAUUUUUAUCAAGCUUCCUUCGGGUGUCCCAUAUCCAAGAGUGCCAGUAUUGACCUGGUAGACUCACAGUCCGGAAGAGAUAUAGUUAUAGGCUCACACACAGCUAGACAAGCACUCGACAAUUUUAAGAGAAUAAGUUACACAUAUCUAACAUUAUACUUUAUCAAUAUUUCAUUGAAAUCGAUUUCAUAUAGGAAAAUUCUUACAUGAUAAUAACAUAAAUACAAAAUCUUUAAAAAGGAAUUUUGAAACUUUUUUUGUGAUUCCUAAAAGUUUCUUGAAUGUAGGGCCCCUUCUUGCACCAAGGUCUUAAAUUGUGUUACUGUAAAAUUGUAUAUAGCUUUACCAUAUGGGAGACACAUUUGUCUUAUGUUCCAAAUCAAAUCUUUUAUCCUAAACAAGAAGAAAAAUCAUAAGAUUUUCAUUUGUGGUUGCAUAUCCUUUCAGCUUUGAAUGAAUGAUUGCAUUUCCUGUGAAUGUCACGAUGUGUUCCAAUUGCAUGAAGUUGAUAAAAGUUGCACAUCAAAGGCUUCAUGUAUAUACUAUGUAUAUUUUUUUCUUUUUUGUACUUCCUCAUGUUAAUGAAAUUGGGAGAACAAAAAUGUAUAAAGAGGAAAAUAAACUAUUUUUUCUGCAUUUUA